GGUCAGUGAUGUGAUGUAAAAGGUCUGAAGCCCGGCUCUCUCUGUUCCUGAGCUCCUCCCGGCCCCCUGCUGUUCUCCCAGCAUGCUCUAGGUGUGUGUAGCUGGUUUGCGGGGGGCUGAUAUUGAGGCGGCUGAGCUGGGUGUGUGUCUCUGAGAGCAGCGAGAUACACACACAGCAUCGCCCCACACACACACACCACACACACACCACACACACACACACACAGGAGGAUGGAGGUUCAGCAGAGACACAGCAGAGGCUCAUGAUCUCCAGUUUUCAAGCUGAGACC